rnacentral:piRNA from 1 species
UCAAUUAUUAACUGAAAAUUC